GCGCGCGUAGUUAAGUGGUAUAACGCCAAACUGAUAAUUUGGAGGCCCCAGGUUCGAUCCCUGGCGCGCGCACCC
rnacentral:tRNA from 1 species